rnacentral:rRNA from 1 species
AACGAACGCUGGCGGCAGGCUUAACACAUGCAAGCCGAGCGCCCCGCAAGGGGAGCGGCAGACGGGUGAGUAACGCGUGGGAAUCUACCCUUUUCUACGGAGUAACGCAGGGAAACUUGUGCUAAUACCGUAUAAGCCCUUCGGGGGAAAGAUUUAUCGGGAAAGGAUGAGCCCGCGUUGGAUUAGCUAGUUGGUGGGGUAAAGGCCUACCAAGGCGACGAUCCAUAGCUGGUCUGAGAGGAUGAUCAGCCACAUUGGGACUGAGACACGGCCCAAACUCCUACGGGAGGCAGCAGUGGGGAAUAUUGGACAAUGGGCGCAAGCCUGAUCCAGCCAUGCCGCGUGAGUGAUGAAGGCCCUAGGGUUGUAAAGCUCUUUCACCGGUGAAGAUAAUGACGGUAACCGGAGAAGAAGCCCCGGCUAACUUCGUGCCAGCAGCCGCUGUAAAAC